UGCAGUCGACGGGAUUUGAGUAAANUACUUAUUGAGAGUGGCGCACGGGUGCGUAACGCGUAUGCAACCUACCUUUAACAGGGGGAUAGCUCCAAAAAAUCGGGAUUAAUACCCCAUACNAUUAUUGAUUGUCAUCAAUUAAUAAUUAAAGCUCCGGCGGUUAAAGAUGGGCAUGGGUGCCAUUAGCUAGUUGGUGAGGUAAAGGCUCAGCCAGGCGAUGAUGGCUAGGGGUUCUGAGAGGAUUAUCCCCCUCACUGGGACUGAGACACGGACCAGACUCCUACGGGAGGCGGCGGUAAGGAAUAUUGGGCAAUGGAAGCGAGUCUGACCCACCCCUGCCGCGUGCAGGAAGACAGCCCUAUGUGUUGUAAACUGCUUUUAUCAGGGAAUAACCCCCCGGAUGUAUCCGGGGCUGAAAGUACCUGAAGAAUAAGCAUCGGCUA
rnacentral:rRNA from 1 species